rnacentral:rRNA from 1 species
UGGGGAAUUUGACAAUGGGCGAAGCUGAUCCAGCAAUGCCGCGUGUGUGAAGAAGGCCUUCGGGUUGUAAAGCACUUUUGUCCGGAAAGAAAAUCCUUGGCUCUAAUACAGUCGGGGGAUGACGGUACCGGAAGAAUAAGCACCGGCUAACUACGUGCCAGCAGCCGCGGUAAUACGUAGGGUGCAAGCGUUAAUCGGAAUUACUGGGCGUAAAGCUGCGCAGGCGGUUUGCUAAGACCGAUGUGAAAUCCCCGGGCUCAACCUUGGGAACUGCAUUUGGUGACUGGCAGGCUAGAGUAUGGCAGAGGGGGGUAGAAUUCCACGUGUAGCAGUGAAAUGCGUAGAGAUGUGGAGGAAUNCCGAUGGCGAAGGCAGCCCCCUGGGCCAAUACUGACGCUCAUGCACGAAAGCGUGGGGGAGCAAACAGGAUUAGAUACCCUGGUAGUCCACGCCCUAAACGAUGUCAACUAGUUNUUGGGGGACUUCAUUUUCCUUAGUAACGUAGCUAACGCGUGAAGUUGACCGCCUGGGGA